GAGCGCCACCCGCCCCGGGAGUCUCCAGAGCAGCGCGCGGGGCAGACCUCCUCGGGUCCUCCGGCGCUUCGGUCUCCGGAGACGCCCGGCCUCCUGAAGGGUUCGGCUUGUCCUCCUCUGGCGCUCAGCUCCCUCUGGCGGCCGGGCUGGCAGGACCUCAGCGCCCAGCCCUUCCGUCUUGUUACGUCCAGGGUCUCACUCUGUGUCUCAGGCUGGAGUACAGUGGUGCAAUUGUAGAUGGCUGCAGCCCUCGACCUCCUGGGCUCAAGUGAUCCUCCUGCCUUAGCCUCUCGAGUAGCUGGGAGUACAGAUGCACACCACCACACCCAGCCUAGAAUGAAGAAACCUGCAGUUGGGAAGCAUGAAUUUACCACCUAUUAAGAUCUGGCUGCUGUGUGGAGAAAGAGUGAAGAUACGGAAGUUGGAGGUUCUCGUAGCAAUGCAGAUCCCCUUUUAUUUUUCAGAAUUGUGGCUUGCAUUGUAAGAGGAGCCUGUGAAUUCAGAGGCAAGUCUGCUGAGGACCGAAUGUUCCUGUCCAUAAAAACAGAAGUCUGGCCUGGGCUCCUCUCUUGGGUGAAUUUGCAAUGCCAGAUCCUCUCUAUCAGUUUGGUUUUGUUUCUUGUAUCUCUGGGAAGGCAGGCAGACAGCACGGUCACCUGUGAAUGCAGCUACAAUUGGCUUAGCUGCCUCACUGAUAAAUGUGCCCCCAGUAAGCUACAAAGGGAUUACCAGCGUUCUCAGCAGCUAAAGGAACUGGUGAAGAUUUCCCCAGCAAAAAGUAGAAGCUCAGUGUUUCAUAGAUGAAGACUGGGGAGAUUGCAAAAGACCCAUCCAGCAGUGGUUCUCAGACCUCAGUGUGCAUCAGAAUCACCUGGAAGGCUUGUGAAAACACGUAUUGCUGGGCCACACCCCCAGAAUUUCUGGAUCAGUAAAGCUGGGAUUCUUACUUUGAGUAGCCAACUUGCAGAAUACAAUAGAAUUUUGGGAGGAGCCCCUCGAUGCCUGGCUUUACUGUUGGAGAGACAGUACAGUAUACACCAGAUGACUUAUUUGUGAACCAUGGAAACGUUUGGAAAAGGACUGUUUCUGCCAUGCGUGUUACUCAUUGCCAUGGUGCUUAUGACAGUGAAGGAAAGAGUCUCACUUUGUCGCCCAGGCUGGAGUACAGUGGUGCGAUCUUGGCUCUCUGCAACCUCUGCCUCCCAGGUUCAAGUAAUUCUCCUGCCUCAGCCUCCCGAGUAGCUGGUACUACAGGCACACAUUUGUAGAGAUGGUGUUUCCCCAUGUCAUCCAGGCUGGUCUGGAACUCCUGGGAUCAAGUAAUCCACCCGCCUCGGCCUCCCAAAGUGCUGGGAUUACAGACGUGAGCCACCACGCCCUGCCAAUAAAAAGAUUAUCUCCAGAUGCUGGAAUGACCA
rnacentral:lncRNA from 1 species